rnacentral:rRNA from 1 species
CAGCCGCCGCGGGAAUACGAAGGGGGCUAGCGUUGCUCGGAAUGACUGGGCGUAAAGGGCGCGUAGGCGGCACAUACAGUCAGAUGUGAAAUUCCUGGGCUUAACCUGGGGGCUGCAUUUGAUACGUAUGAGCUAGAGUGGGGAAGAGGGUUAUGGAAUUCCCAGUGUAGAGGUGAAAUUCGUAGAUAUUGGGAAGAACACCGGUGGCGAAGGCGGCAACCUGGUCCUUGACUGACGCUGAGGCGCGAAAGCGUGGGGAGCAAACAGGAUUAGAUACCCCUGUAGUCCCUGUCUCUUAUAC